GACGAACGCUGGCGGCGUGCUUAACACAUGCAAGUCGAACGGAAAGGCCCUGCUUUUGUGGGGUGCUCGAGUGGCGAACGGGUGAGUAACACGUGAGUAACCUGCCCUUGACUUUGGGAUAACUUCAGGAAACUGGGGCUAAUACCGGAUAGGAGCUCCUGCUGCAUGGUGGGGGUUGGAAAGUUUCGGCGGUUGGGGAUGGACUCGCGGCUUAUCAGCUUGUUGGUGGGGUAGUGGCUUACCAAGGCUUUGACGGGUAGCCGGCCUGAGAGGGUGACCGGCCACAUUGGGACUGAGAUACGGCCCAGACUCCUACGGGAGGCAGCAGUGGGGAAUAUUGCACAAUGGGCGGAAGCCUGAUGCAGCAACGCCGCGUGCGGGAUGACGGCCUUCGGGUUGUAAACGCUUUCGCCUGUGACGAAGCGUGAGUGACGGUAAUGGGUAAAGAAGCACCGGCUAACUACGUGCCAGCAGCCGCGG
rnacentral:rRNA from 1 species